UCGCGGCUUAUCACCGGCAGUCCCCUUAGAGUGCCCAACUGAAUGAUGGCAACUAAGGGCGAGGGUUGCGCUCGUUGCGGGACUUAACCCAACAUCUCACGACACGAGCUGACGACAGCCAUGCAGCAUCUGUGCACGAGCUCCGAAGAGGGGCCGCGCUUUCACGCGGCUUUCUCGUGCAUGUCAAGCCCAGGUAAGGUUCUUCGCGUUGCGUCGAAUUAAACCACAUGCUCCACCGCUUGUGCGGGCCCCCGUCAAUUCCUUUGAGUUUCAGCCUUGCGGCCGUACUCCCCAGGCGGGGUGCUUAAUGCGUUAGCUUCGGCACGGACGGAGUCGACACCGCCCACACCUAGCACCCAUCGUUUACGGCGUGGACUAC
rnacentral:misc_RNA from 1 species